CCGCGGUAAAACCGGUUACUCCUACGGGAGGCAGCAGUGAGGAAUUUUCCGCAAUGGGCGAAAGCCUGACGGAGCAACGCCGCGUGAGGGAUGAAGUCUCUAGGGAUGUAAACCUCUGUUGGGAGGGACGCGGUACCUCCUGAGGAAGCCCCGGCUAACUAC
rnacentral:rRNA from 1 species